rnacentral:lncRNA from 1 species
GGUAUUCUCGAGAGAUGCACACAAGGUGUGUGGCGUCGCCCCACCAUAUAUGAUGUAAGAUCUAUUGGUGGUUUAUUCAUCUAGAAAAGAAUGAUAGGCAUAGUAGUGCUUGAUAUCAUACGCAAUUGUAAUUGCAAUCUUGUUCUAGUGAAUUUGUUCUGGACUAGGUCCCGGGGAUGUAGGAAAAACCGAACCCCGUUAACAAACUCUUUGUGUCGUUUACUUUAUGCUCACACAUACUCGUACUUGAACAUAUACGUACUCGAACAAUUAGACUUAGCCACAAAUAUGCGUUUAC